AUUGAACGCUGGCGGCAGGCCUAACACAUGCAAGUCGAGCGGGGUUUUCGGACCUAGCGGCGGACGGGUGAGUAAUGCGUAGGAAGCUGCCCGAUAGAGGGGGAUACCAGUUGGAAACGGCUGUUAAUACCGCAUAAUGUCUACGGACCAAAGUGUGGGACCUUCGGGCCACAUGCUAUCGGAUGCGCCUACGUGGGAUUAGCUAGUUGGUGAGGUAAUGGCUCACCAAGGCGACGAUCUCUAGCUGGUUUGAGAGGAUGAUCAGCCACACUGGAACUGAGACACGGUCCAGACUCCUACGGGAGGCAGCAGUGGGGAAUAUUGGACAAUGGGCGCAAGCCUGAUCCAGCCAUGCCGCGUGUGUGAAGAAGGCCUUCGGGUUGUAAAGCACUUUCAGUAGGGAGGAAGGGUGUUGUGUUAAUAGCACAGCAUUUUGACGUUACCUACAGAAGAAGCACCGGCUAACUCUGUGCCAGCAGCCGCCGUAAAAC
rnacentral:rRNA from 1 species